rnacentral:lncRNA from 1 species
UGUUGGAACAAAACGACGAGGAGACGCCGAUAACAAAUGUGCUCGAGUUGUCUAACGAUCUGUAUCACUGAUUCCUAUUGACAACUAAACCAACUAUGAAAGCAAUGUGCCUUCAGGCGAUGACUAAAGUUUAUGGAAAAUAUCACGAAGAGUU